rnacentral:lncRNA from 1 species
UUAAUUCAUAUGUUUUAGUCUCUGCAGUCUGUUCUCUCGAGCAGAGCUUGUGCCUGGCUAGUGUAAGUACUCACCUUUUUAUUAAUCCAAAUUACCCACCGAUCAAAUACAAACCGAAUACAAUCACUGAAUCAUCUAUCAGCUACUAGUUAAUUAGAUAUGUGCUUGAGGCUUCUGAUGUGGAGCGCUGCGUUUUCUGUCCUUACCUGUCCGAGCUCCGCCUAAUCCAUGGAUGUUUCUUCUUCAGUUCUUCUGCAGAGUAAUUCCGGAAUCUAAAGAUUAAACAAAGUAUGUUUAUAUUGUCAUUGUGUGUCUAAUUUAUAGAUAUCUGUUGUGUUUAUGCUUUAAAUUCAAAUUAUUAGGUCAUGGGUGAUGGCCUGAUGGGUACCAGCAGGCUAGCAGAGUAGCAGGCAGCAGCUGAAAAGGGGGAAUUCUCAAUUCUGUGAUUACAAAAUUAAGGUGUGUUUAUUUUUCCCCUACUGUAACUUUGUAAGCUUUUGAUUAUCGUUAGUUGAUACUUAAAAUGUCAACCCUAUAUUUGUUAAACAGUUAAUCAAUUAUGCAUCGAUUUUAUUCAAUGUUAUGAAUUUGUGUUCUUAUUGCAUUUAAUGAAGACUGUAUUGGGGAUCACUAACGAGUUAUCACAAGCAUUGCAGAGGAAAGAUCAAGAUCUUGUAAACGCCAUGGAUCUUGUUAAAUCGUGUAAAAGAAGAUUUCAACACACGAGGGAUAAUGGUUGGCAAUCUCUGCUUGAAGAAAUAUGUGUUUUUUGUGAAAAGAAUUCAGUAAGUAUCCCAAAUAUGGAAGAUGUGUUUGUAGCUCGAGGAAGAUCAAGACGUGGAGUACAAGAAUUCACAAAUCUGCAUCAUUUUCAGAAUGAUUUAUUUUAUACUAUCAUAGAUGAUCAAAUGGGAGAGUUAAAUAGUCGAUUCAAUGAAGUGAACACAGAAUUGCUUUUGUGUAUGGCUUGCCUCAAUCCCUCUGAUUCUUUUUCAGCCAUGAAAAUCAUCAAAAGUACGUUGCGCAACCGAAUGGGAGACGAGUGGAUGAAUGAUUGUUUAGUAACUUAUGUUGAAAGAGAGAUGUUUGAGACUAUCUCAACAGAUAAUAUAAUCAAGCAAUUUCAGAAAAUGAAGUCUAGGAGAAUCUGCCUAUAAUUGUGUAUAUACCAUGCCAGGUUUUAAUAAACAUGUCUACUCUCUAGUAUGUUUCUGUAUAUAUGUGUAUAGCUAUGUAAUUUUUAUUUAAUUAAUGCUAAGAGUGCUUAUGUGUGUGAUUUCAGGGGCAAGAGUUGUUGGCAGACACUCAUUUUUGUCGCAAAAUACUAUACUUUUGGCUUGGCUGUGACUUGUGAGACUGUGGUUGCUGCCUUGCUGGUUCUUGACUAUAGCAUGCAGGUACAUUUAUCAAUCUGUUAUGACUUAUGAGUUAAGAAAAUAUUUUGGUGUCCCCUCUAAGAUUAGAUCCUAGAUCCGCCCCUGC